CUCCGGUGGAAUUAUUGUCUCUCAUAUGGCAGACCUGGUUUUCAUUCAUGGCCAGUGAAUAACUGAGUAUUAUUGUCCAAUGUAGAAGUUACAGAAUUUAAACUAGGAAGAAGGGAGAAUUUUCCCAUCAUUUCACCCCUUUACAUCUGAACAUGAUGACUUUCUGAAUGACCCGUCCUCGUUCAACCAGAAGAUGUUGGGAGGGAUGUAGGAGUCACUGGGGGAAUUCUCUGGGCUCUGUUAUGAAUCGGGUCAGAGCGGAUGUACAUAGUGAUCUAGUCUGGCUGUAAAAUCUAUGAAUCAACACCAAAUAUGGUGUUAAAUUAAUCCUGAAAAUGGCUGUUCCCCAUCCAGACCCCAGCAAAGGGCUCUCCAAGGAAGGGGGCUGCUCAGGAAGGAAAGAAGGAAGAUGUCCUCCUCUCCCUGGAGGAAUUGGGCUCUGUGUUUGGACAGGAAGGAGGGGAAGGAAAUGGCCACACAAUGGCACCAGAACCGGAACGAUGGCACUAAGAAAUGAAACACAACAGGCUGCUUCUGUGCACAUUGAUUCUGGACAGUGAAGGACCCUGACUCCUGUGCCAUGAAAAGCCAAAACGCUGUUUCUUUCUACGGCAGGGAAGAGCAGGAGAGAAGAGUUGCAAUAACUGCUGCCCGGUUACUGAUCCAUGAACAGCGAAAUCUUCCUGUGUCUGUGGUCUGAGCCAGGAGGUUCGAUUCCAGUGAACCUUCUCUCCUGCAAUGGUGAUGGUCAGACAGAGGGGACGUGGCACCUUCAUCCCUGCCAGGGAGAUAUUGGCUCGGCUCUUCAUGCUGCUGUUGUUAGUCCAUGAAACGUCAAGGAUGGAAUGCAAGGCUGAGUUCACUCACCAACCCCGUGAAAUAUUUCAGUGCCCCAGAGAAAUCCUGCCCCCUGCUAUUGGGAUGCUGGGCUGGAGAUUUGAAUGGAAAAGGGACUGUCUGAAUUGUCACCCUGGGGAAUGAAGAACAAUCUACAGCAAUGUCGUUAACACAAACACACUCUCAUCCUGCUCCAGCCGGAAGGGAAAUGGGCAGGAAUUCUCGCUGUUCAGCCAAGGACACACUUACACUGACGCGCAGCCGUGAGUGUGCUGGGGAAGCUGGUCUGAGCAAACAAUCUGAAGUGACAAUUCAGUGAGAACAGAAUCAUCAUGUAGUAAAACAGCCAUAUAU